UACGUAGGGUGCGAGCGUUAAUCGGAAUUACUGGGCGUAAAGCGUGCGCAGGCGGUUUUGUAAGCCAGAUGUGAAAUCCCCGGGCUUAACCUGGGAAUGGCAUUUGGGACUGCAAGGCAUGAGUGCGGCAGAGGAGACUGGAAUUCCUGGUGUAGCAGUGAAAUGCGUAGAUAUCAGGAGGAAUACCGAUGGCGAAGGCAGGUCUCUGGGCUGACACUGACGCUCAUGCACGAAAGCGUGGGGAGCAAACAGG
rnacentral:rRNA from 1 species